rnacentral:tRNA from 2 species
UGGUGUGGCUCAAUGGCAGAGCAGCUGAUUUGUAAUCAGCAGGUUGUAGGUUCGACUCCUAUCACC